AUGGCCUGGACUCCUCUCCUGCUCGUGCUCCUCUCUCAUUGCACAGGUUCCCUCUCGCAGCCUGUGCUGACCCAGCCGCCCUCCGUCUCUGCAUCUCUGGGAGCAACAGCCAGACUCACCUGCACCCUCAGCAGCGGCUCUGUUGUUGAGGGCUACCAUAUAUACUGGUACCAGCAGAAGCCAGGGAGCCCUCCCCGGUUUCUCCUGAGAUUUAAAUCAGACUCAGACAAGUACCAGGGCUCCGGGGUCCCCAGCCGCUUCUCUGGCUCCAAAGACGCCUCGGCCAAUGCAGGGCUCCUGACCAUCUCUGGGCUGGAGCCUGAGGACGAGGCCGAUUAUUACUGUGCUACAUGGCAUGGGAGUGGGAGCAACUACCGUUACUCACAGUGGUUCAGAUGA